UUGAUAGUAUGUUCUGUGUUACUUGGCGGAAAGCCGUAAGUAGUGGCGGUGCGGCAGUGCGGCUUUGGCCUCGGUGAGCUCUGGCACUACAGAAUCUGCGUUGUGUGACCCGUGCUUUAUUGAGAACCCGGCGGUGCUGACAAUUGAAAUAUCGAAGUGGCCUAGCGCCUCGGCAGCGAAGUUCUGCGAACCGCGAUGUGGCGUCGCCGUGUCCGACUUUGCUUAACGGACAUCGAGGGAUGUGCUGCUCGCUGCAAGUCAUGCACCUUUUCUACUUGAAGCUUCCAUUGCAGUGUUUUGAACAUCAUUGAACCAGCACAUAGUGUAUAUAAAUAUUGGACACUGAUUGGGAACAUCACCUAAGUUCAUGCCUAUAUAUAGUAAAAAGAUGUAGCACGACCAGACAAAAUAAAAGGGGGUGGGCUGUAGCAACACUAAGUGUUAAAUGCUGCUUUAUCCUUUCCCUUGAGUUUUCUGUUUUUGUGCAGUUUUAUGGAUCCUCCGCAGUAACCAUGCGAGUGCCAAGCUUGAGCUUGUUGGUUUCAAGUCUCAUGGUUGUUACUAACAGAACAGUGUGAUAAACGAACAAGGGCUUGGAGGCAUCCGUU